rnacentral:rRNA from 1 species
AUUGAACGCUGGCGGCAUGCUUUACACAUGCAAGUCGAACGGCAGCGCGGGGGCAACCCUGGCGGCGAGUGGCGAACGGGUGAGUAAUGCAUCGGAACGUAUCCUGUAAUGGGGGAUAACGUAGCGAAAGUUACGCUAAUACCGCAUACGCUCGAGAGAGGAAAGUGGGGGAUCGCAAGACCUCACGUUAUAGGAGCGGCCGAUGUCCGAUUAGCUAGUUGGUGGGGUAAAGGCCUACCAAGGCGACGAUCGGUAGCUGGUCUGAGAGGAUGAUCAGCCACACUGGGACUGAGACACGGCUCAGACUCCUACGGGAGGCAGCAGUGAGGAAUUUUGGACAAUGGGCGAAAGCCUGAUCCAGCCAUGCCGCGUGCGGGAAGAAGGCCUUCGGGUUGUAAACCGCUUUAGUCCGGGAAAAAGGGGUGCGAGGAUAAUACCCUUGUGCUUUGAUGGUACUGGAAGAAUAAGUACCGGCUAACUACGUGCCAGCAGCCGCGGUAAUACGUAGGGUGCGAGCGUUAAUCGGAAUUACUGGGCGUACAGCGUGCGCAGGCGGUCUUGUAAGACAGUCGUGAAAGCCCCGGGCUUAACCUGGGAACUGCGAUUGUGACUGCAAGGCUAGAGUGUGUCAGAGGGGGGUGGAAUUCCACGUGUAGCAGUGAAAUGCGUAGAGAUGUGGAGGAACACCGAUGGCGAAGGCAGCCCCCUGGGAUAACACUGACGCUCAUGCACGAAAGCGUGGGGAGC